GGAGGUGUGGCCGAGCGGUUUAAGGCAGCUGACUUGAAAUCAGCCGUACGGGCGACUGUACCGUGGGUUCGAAUCCUACCACCUCCGCCA
rnacentral:tRNA from 2 species